GAAGCACUGCGGCACACUGCGUGUAUUUUGCAGGCUGCAUGUCUGCCUGGCUCAGCGCUCAAAGAGAGCGGAAGAUAGGAGGAGGGGAAUGACUCCACCAAGAGAGUAGGAGGAGGGAGGGAGGGAGGACAGUUUCCUUUUUGUAACACACACGCUACAAGAUCACACCGGGAAAACGGAGAGAGGAAAGAAAAUUAUAGGCGAGAGAGAGAGAGAGAGAGAGAGGGGGGAAGGAAACACCGCAGCACAUCCGUCCGUUCUUUUGGUUGUUGUUUGUGGGUGAGGAAUCGUCUUUUCUUUUUACGCAGACUAACAUGGGGGGAAGGAGCUCCUGACGCGGAUUGACUUUCAGUGAACCUCUGCUCUGUGGUACAAGUCUGUGGUUAAUAGGGAGGAAAAAGGCGACAGGGAAGACAUGUUGAGGGGGUUUUCGUCUUGAGGUUGCGGUAGGAUGUUGAUGUUGUGCUCUUAAAAAGACACAGCUCCUCGUAGAAAAAAAAAAGCGAGGACAAAUGGAAAUUGUGCGGUAGGUUAAUGCUCAGGAGCCAUUGUUUUGAUCGGUGUUUAUUCAAUUGGUUUGUUAUGAUCUGAAAUAACGUAGGCCUCUUAGGCAGCCCUGCAGUAAAUAAAAACACGGUCAGCAAACGGGCCACCUAUGAAUUAACCCGACAAACCUGCUUGUAUUUUGGGGGACAUUUUUUAAUUGGGCUGUGUUUGGUAGUAGCCUAAGGAAAAAGCAGCGUUCAGGCCUAUUUGUUUUUAAAACUAACGCGGGGUUAGAUUACGUUUCUUAAACCAGAGUUGCAAACAUUUCCAUAGCCUUAUUAACUCUUCAGGGACGGGGGGUUAUACGAAGGCCCAGUAGAUACAGUAACGACUUCUUUGCAGCAUUUAAAGACAAUUUUAACUGCAAAGGGAAAUUGUCCACAGGCUGGCUUUUAAGCACAAAGGUGCACACGUAGUCGAUCCAACCCCCAGUUUAACUCAAUACAGGGGACAAAACAAGAUUUUUAAAUGUUAAUGUCGACCGACGUUGCAUCCAUCAUGCUGCCUGUGUCCCGGGGUCUCAUGGACCGGGAUAGAGAGCUGGACACCAUGGCCGGGAUCCAUCCCAACGCGGGCGGCGCUCCUGCGGUUGUCCGGGGUAUGAAACGCGGAGACCCGGAGCCCGACGGACAGACAACGGCUGCUCUUGUGGACUCGACCGGGGCGGAGUGCAAGCGUCCCCGGAUCGACGGCUCAGGAGGGAUCGGCGAGGUUGGUCAGAACAACGACCCUUUGGCCCUUGGUUACCAUGGCUACCCGUCUCAUAGUCAGGGCUCUCAGGAUAGUGCUGGUGGUCAGGAGGGUCUCGUACCUCCACCUUUCUCCGCAUUCCCUCCUCCUCCACCGCCACCCCCCCAGAACGGCCUGGCACUGGAUUACGGGGGCAGCCUGUAUGCAGCAGGGGCCGUCCAGGGCCCCUUGGAAGCCGGUGGAGCAGCAAACAGUGCUGCCAAUGCUGCAAACAGCCUUAGUGGCCAACAGUCCGAUGGCUCCUCCCAGAUUGACGGUCAGUCGGUUGUUGGCUCAGGAGGCGUAGGUGGUGGAGGGAGCAUUGGGGAUGAUUCAGACGCCAAGGGGACCCCCAAACGCCUUCACGUCUCCAACAUUCCCUUCCGCUUCCGAGAUCCCGACCUACGACAGAUGUUUGGGCAAUAUGGCAAAAUCCUCGACGUGGAGAUAAUUUUCAAUGAGAGGGGAUCCAAGGGCUUCGGUUUUGUAACAUUCGAGACAAGUGCAGAUGCAGAAAGGGCCCGAGAGAAGCUUCAUGGUACGCUGGUGGAAGGACGUAAAAUCGAGGUAAAUAAUGCCACAGCCAGAGUGAUGACAAACAAGAAGAUGACCACCCCUUACUCUAACGGAGAGGGCCUCGCAACUCUGCCAUACGCUGGAUGGAAGUUGAGUCCCAUGGUUGGAGCAAUGUACAGCCCUGAACUCUAUACGGUUCCGGGGUUUCCAUACCCAGCCGCAGCAGCGGCAGCAGCUGUCUCUACCGCCGCAACCUUUCGAGGCGCUCAUCUCCGGGGUCGUGCAAGGCCCGUCUACAGCGCAGUCAGGGCAGCUGUGCCACAGCCUGCCAUCCCUACCUACCCUGGUGUGAUGGCCUAUCAGGAUGGCUUUUACAGUGCAGCUGAUCUCUAUACUAGUGUUUCAGGACAUUAGUGGCAGAUUGUCCCAGGGCGGCUAUGCAGCGUAUCGUUACGCCCAGCCAACUGCGGUAGCAACUCCAGCAGCAGCGGCAGCUGCAGCAGCAGCUUACAGUGACAGCUACGGACGAGUUUACACAGCAGACCCCUACCAUGCUGCGCUUGCCCCAGCUGCCUAUGGUGUUGGAGCCAUGGCCACACUGUACAGGGGGGGCUACAGCAGGUUUGCCCCUUACUAAAGACACUACAUUUCCCAGGAGCUCCCUCUUCCGUUGAAUACUCUGAAAGAACUCCCUCUGUUGUUGUAAAGGUGGACUGCACCCAGUUUCAAAGUGGAGUUGACCACAACAAUGUUAUUUCAGAUCCCACCCCAGAGCAGUCCUACGUUUUCUUAAAUGCGCUACUACAAAAAUACUACAGAAAUAGAGGAAUGCUGUAUAAAGACUGACAGAUGGCCUCUACAUUAAAAAAGAAGAA